GCCGUCUGUGUACAGAUUCAUUUGCCGCCGCAGGCAGAUGUCGGUUGUUUCUAUGAAACAGUUUUAUCAUUGUUCACUACUGAGUAGUAGACGGCACAGGAAAGUGAGAGCAACGGCUCAGAGAUGCUACCGGACGUCAGAAGAGGAAUCCAGUGUUAUGAGGAAGUUAGGAAGGAUUAUUCAGAAAGCAAUAAUAAAUGAGGACACGUCGUUAAAGAGGAAGAAAGUGAAUCUUCUUCUCUUGUUCGUUAGCAGAUCUGAAACGCUGCAUUUGGCUCUGAUGUGUAAAAGGUUGUAAACUAUAAUCUCUAAACUCUGUCUGUAUUAUUAUUCUGUUAUUAUUAUUACUCUGAUGUGUGUUUUGUCAGAAUGUUAAACACGAGAUGAUAAUCAGUAACUUUAAACCUGUUGGACCAGAACGUCCCCGAGUGUUGACUUCAGGCGUGUCUCGGCGUGUUAUUUUGGGACUUUCUUCCAUUGAUAAUUAACUUUUUAUGAGGUCAUGCCAUUCUCGAGAAGUCCUCUAAUUAUUCUGGAUAACUCUGAUUAUUCUGUUUGAUUGUAACUGCUGUUCUCAGAAUCAACGGUAAAAUCCACAUAAAAUAGGGUUAAAGGUGUUUGUUUUUGAUGAAGACAGAAAGAGAUGGCAUUAGUGCAUUAUAACAGCUCAUAUUACAUGUAUUUGCAUGUUAUUGCUGAUGUAUGAGUUUUUGUGGUGAUGGGAUUAGUACAGUAUAUAUUGUUAUUCUUUAUCUCUUUAUAUAUGUAUAUAUGCUGUCAUUCAGCAUUAUGUUUAUUGUGCAUCAGGAGCGGGUCAUUGUUUGUGUUUCCUUUGCAGGUCACAUGAUAUUCUGUGUGUUUAAUUGUCAGCUGUAAUUCAGUCUUAAAUAAAGAUUCCUUGUUCUGUUCUCGUGAGUGUCAGAUUUCAGAAGAGUGUCAAAACAAAAGAUCAGAAAACUGAUCCAGAGCAGGAAAUAAUUGGACUGAAACACGAGCGAAUGUCACGCACACACUUUACAGGAAUUCAUGGGAAGUGCAAGAUCACAGUAAUAGUACUAAAGUGAUUUACCAGGUGAAGUGUUUGUCAUGGCCAUGUUCAUCUGCUUCUCAGUGCCUUUAAAGUCAUCACAAUGACAAAAACCCUCAUAUACAAUGGACCCAAGGAAGCCACUCAAAAUAGAUUCCCUCACUCAUGUAAGCUGACCUUUUAGUUUUAUAAGAGGAAAGCACGAUUAUUAUGUCAUUGUGUAACAGACGUGAUAUUUCCUCAUAUUCUGAGUCUGGUGAAACUACAGCAAAAUUCUUCAUAUCAUCAGCUAUAACCUCGACUUCUGCAUUUCCUGUUUAACCUCGACUUCUGCAUUUCCUGUAUUUCUUCUGCUUCAGUUCUUACACGUCACAUUCCAGAAUUCUUGUGUUUUUCUGGUCUAUAAAAAUAAUCAGAAUAGAAACAUGAAACCACAAUAUUCUCACAGCUCAAAAAAGUUUCAUUAAGCUGAGCCAGAAAUCCCCUCGUACUGAACCAGAUUCUCAUUCAGUGUCAGUGUGUUUGUGUUUACAUGCACAUCUCUUCAUUUCAUAAGUAACCUCAUUUCAUAGUAACCUCUUGUAUGAUAAAACAAAAAAACAAAACAUAAAGGCAGGACAAUGAUUAGUCAAGAUCAUCCUCUCUAAAAAGUUCAGUUUGUGUAAAUGUGAAGACAUUCAUUCUCUGUAACGGCAGUUUCCUAGGUCUGUGUUUUUUAAAGAAUAAUCAAUAAUAAUAAUAAUCAAUUCCAGUUUAAGAUUCAACCACUGAACGUCUUUUCUGAAUAUUUGCCCACAUUGACACCUCUGGUCACAGCAAUGGUCAAAAACUGUUAAUAAGAGAUGAUUAACAACUGCAUGUACAAAUCAAACUCAGGAUACUUGUGAAGCUUUAGUGGGGUGUGUCUGUGUUAUGUGUGCAGUGAGAACACAAGCUCAACCAGCUGGACGUGUCUGAUGUGACACUACUGUAUCUUAUAGAAGGGUUUAAAAUUAAAAACUUUUCCUAAUAUUGUUGUUUUUGUUGUACAUCAAAUAAAAGCCAGAUUAUAAUUUCUUG
rnacentral:lncRNA from 1 species